CAAAAACUUUGCUCUCCUUCAAGCAGCUCAGUCUGUACGCCCUCGCAUCCAUGCCUACAGAUAAAACAAACAUGAUACUGAAUUAUGUAUGAAAAUACAUUUGAAGGAGAACCUGGUGUUUUUUCUAGAGGCAGCUCAGCUAUUGGGCCAAUAAGUGCUAAUUACUCAGUGGAUGGGCCAUAAUUCAGUGACACACUGAUUGCACCACUCUAAACUUUUCAUAUGAAGAAGCGAGAAAGAACAGUAACAUUACCUGCACCAAGUAGAACAACUUGGGUGUCUUCGCCGUUGAAGGAUUUGAGAGCUGCUUCAAUCUUUGAAUCAAACCAUAACGUGCGGACAGCAAGAAUCACUCCA